rnacentral:lncRNA from 1 species
UUUAAACAAAACAAAGCAAUAAUCAAUGGUCUUCCCUACCGUCUGACUAAAAUAAGUGGAUAGUGUAUUCAGUUUAAGUGGACUUAUCAUCUAACAUCCCCUAUUUUUGUCUUUGCUUCAUAAUUUGAAAAAUUAGGCUAAAAAAUCUGUCAGACAGUAAAUUGGAUAGUAAGUUCUAAGAAAUAUUACUGGUUGAAUAAAAUAAUAUGUGUAAAAGUAGCUCAUGGGCCUAUGGUAACUUCUCAGAUGUUAAAUUUCUUUCCACCUUCUUAGGGCAUGCCGGAACAAGCAAAUUUUAAUCAAAGCUAUUAUAUUGAGUCUCUAAUCAAUAAACUUUUAUUUAGCCUGUACCAGUCACCUGGACAUCUACUACUUGGUGUAAUUAUAUUUCCAAAAUACUAUAACAUUGGUAUAGUUUUUCAAAAAGAAAAUGUUUUCCCAUUAUUUUCUCUCAUAUAAAAAAUAAAAACGGUCAAUGUGUUUUUCUUUUCUUUUUUUUUUUUUUAGUGUGAGCUGUAGGUGUUAAAAUCUACCUAUAGCAUUUACUGAGCAUUAAAUAAUACUAAUUAUGUCCUUUUAUUCUGUUUUAUGUAGGAGUUACUGAAAAAGCAAGGAUAACUUAUGUGGAUUAACAAUAUGGAAACAUCCUGAAACUACUUUGGAAUCACCUUAAAUUAAGUGGAUUCAAAUUUUGCAAACAGGGAAACCAGUCCAUGAACAAUUUGCUACAGGACUUCCAGUAUUACGUUGAAUAGGAGUGGUGAAAGUGGCCAUCUUUGUCUUGUUCCCGGUCUUGGGGGAAUGCUUCCAACUUUUCCUCAUGCAGUAUGAAGUUCGCUGGCCUCUCCAUCAGGCUUUCGAUCAACAUGCAACAAGGUCUCUCCAGCCUCAGUUGGGAACUCCAGCUAUAGUUGAAGUCCUCAAUGGAGCAGUUGCUGACAAUGCUGUUCUUCACUGUGCUGGGAUCUAUCACUCUGAAAUCCCUGCUGCCAUUCUCUCCAGCUCAGCUGGUAUGUUACAGUUUGGGCUGCUUCUGGCAGACAACAUCUCAGCCUCUUCCCAUUCAAGGCUUGAAGGCUCAUUUCAGGCAUACUUUCAGUCUGUAAUAGCUCUAUUGAGUCACAGAGCAUCUGAGUUAGUGCUCUCUCUCUUGGGUGCACACAGCAGGCUCUUCAAGUACGAUAAGAGAGAGGUCAAUUUAACAGAUUCUGUUCAACUAACCCUUGCCAUCUUUGUAUAUGUAUAG